rnacentral:lncRNA from 1 species
CUUGCUCUUGCUCCUUCGCCUGCUUGCUGCGUGAGACUGAGUAACUGCUAGAUCCUUGGACUUAAAGGGGACAGAUUCAAAAUUCGGAAAGGAGAGUGGCUGAUCCACACUCAUCCAGCUGUAAUCAAUGAGCCAGGAUUGCACUGGUCUCUCUCUAGAGCUGAUGUUCCACACUUGGAUGAAACAGUGAAUUCUGGGAAUGGUAUGGCCUCCUCAAUGCACAGUCCACCUUUGCUUUGCUUUACUACUAUCGCUAGCAGUGGGUACUGGGUCUCCAAAAAAAAAAAAAAAGUUGUAUCCAACUCACAAGUCCAAGAGGAUGGCUUCUCACUGCCCAUUCACUCCAGGCUGCUUCUGCCAGAAUGCAGUGCUUUUGUUAAAUGCUUCAUACUAGUGUCAAAUUCCUGAAGAACUCGAAUGUGUGCAACUGAAGGGAAAUUAUCGUGGUGCUAGCCUUCACAUUACUAAUAAACAUAAAACAGGAGAGAUGAGACAGAAUAGCUUUGAGAGAACACCUGCUGGCCCCACAGCCUUAGAUUAGAGGCAUUUCUAUUUUUCCCCCGGUCCCAGAAGCCUGUAUUUCACAUUUGAAGACAACUACUGGUGAGAAAUCAAUGCUCCUACCUCAGGGAGGUGAGAUGAGAAGCAAGAAGAGAAGAGGAGGAGCCAUCUCUCUUCCCUAUCCUCAGCGGUGGGGUACAGCGACAGGGAUACACUCUGCACAUGGAACACACUGAGGGAAAUGUUCAUUGCAGAACCCAGAUGCCAACGUGGAGAAGAGACGGAGUGCUUCCAGCAGCUGCAUCUGGCUGUUUGGCACGCUCUCUGCACGGUGGUGCUUGUCCUGCCCCCCCCCCCUUCACCCCCAAUCUGCAUUUCCACAGCUAUGCCAGUUACCUGCUAACUUCAUUUCAGCUUCCCUUAUGACACACAGCUUGCUACAUAUGUAAAGUUACUGCCAUAGUUUCUGUUUUCAAACUUCUGUGGACCAUUCUAAAGGAAGCCAUAUCAAGACCCUUUCAGCUACCAAGACCUAAAGAAAAAAGAAGAGAAGAGAAGAGAAGAGAAGAGAAGAGAAGAGAAGAGAAGAGAAGAGAUUCUUUAUCCUGGACCCCUUGCAUCCAAGCAUCCCAAUCAGAUGCACAUGGAAUGAUUUUGAAAAUCAGGAGAAAAGUCUGCUUUAUCCCAAGUAAGCAUGUUUUUCCUGUAUGUGAGGGGCAGAGUGCAAAGGGUUAAUCCCAAGGCUGUACAGCUAGGGAGAUCCUAAGUAAAUUUAACCUACAAGGAAGUUUUUCUUUUAAAUCCUCGCCUUUAGCAGAGCCUUUUUUUUUUCCACAUCCAAAAAAAGUAAGACACCUUCCAUGGGUUUCCCUCUCCACGUUUUUAUAAUAUACCUUUCAGCAAAAGCUUUUACAAUGAUAUUAAACAUUAACUCUAGAUGGGUUAAUCCCAAGACAUGGCAACAGCCUUAAGGUUAAUAGUCCUUUUAAUUAAAGGAUAAGUCAGUUAUUGAACACAGAAGCUAAUCACAAAAGGAUUACCAGUGAAAAUGAACAUAGUCUAUGCAAUUAGUCUGAUAAUUAAGUCUUAAGUACUGGACAGAGAUCAAAGUGCCUGUAAUACGCAAUAAAGUUCCAAGAGUUGUAAGGAUAUUC